rnacentral:rRNA from 1 species
UGGGGAAUUUUGGACAAUGGGCGCAAGCCUGAUCCAGCCAUGCCGCGUGAGUGAAGAAGGCCUUCGGGUUGUAAAGCUCUUUCGUACGGAAAGAAAUCGUCCGGGAUAACACCCCGGAUGGAUGACGGUACUGUAAGAAGAAGCACCGGCUAACUACGUGCCAGCAGCCGCGGUAAUACGUAGGGUGCGAGCGUUAAUCGGAAUUACUGGGCGUAAAGCGUGCGCAGGUGGUUGAAUAAGUCAGACGUGAAAUCCCCGGGCUCAACCUUGGAAGUGCGUUUGGGACUGUUCGGCUAGAGGAUGGCAGAGGGGGGUAGAAUUCCACGUGUAGCAGUGAAAUGCGUAGAGAUGUGGAGGAAUACCGAUGGCGAAGGCAGCCCCCUGGGCCAUAACUGACGCUCAAGCACGAAAGCGUGGGGAGCAAACA